rnacentral:lncRNA from 1 species
UACCCAGGCUGGUUUUGAACUCCUGAGCUUAAUCAGAUCUCACCUGCUUUGCCCUCCCAAAGUGCUAUGAUUACAGGUGUGAGCCACCACGUUUGACCCUGCCCGGGAGUCAUUUUUGUAUCUACAGGUAUCUUCCUAUGCUGUAGACAGAUGCCCUUUUUCAAGGCAAAAACCCUAGCCAUUUUUCUCUUCUCCUUCAGAGUCUGCAACAUCCUCUCAACUCAUCCAAGUGACUACUGCCUGGUGCUCUUGGUGGGGAUGCGGGGAGGCCUGAGAAGGCCAAUGUCUAUACAGAAAGUUCUAACAUAGUGCACUGAGUCAAUGUGGGCACUUUAAAGCCCUUUCACCUGCCAAGUCACGAAGCACCCGUAUAGUUGUGUUUGUAAAAUACUGGGGGGUUUGAAGGGGAAAAGGGAUAACUCCAAGGUACCAUCUUUGCAUUUCAGAUCCACACAACUUAAAGAUCUGCUGCCGAGUGAAUGGGGAAGUGGUCCAGAGCAGCACCACCAACCAGAUGGUAUUCAAGACAGAGGACCUGAUAGCCUGGGUGUCCCAGUGAAUGACAGGGGCUAUCCUGCCAGGCCCGCUCCCCCCUGCCACACAUGUGGAGGUUGCCCUGAGCCCUCCACCUUUGGCUGUGGCCACCUCAGCCAGCCCCUGGUCUCACCGGGUCCUUUUGCUUUGCUCCAGGUCUCUGAAGGUCCAGACAGCACUGAUGGCGAGCUUUGGGUCCGCACACUCUGGAAAGAAGAGAGAAGUGAAGGCUCUAGGUAGGGAGGACAGAGAGCCACUGGGCACAGGCUUCUCUCCUCUUGUUUAAAGAAGCCCAGGGAGGGAUAGAGCUCUGACUGGACAGAAGACUGUCUGUACUCUGCAGCCUGCCUUCCUAGAGUUGGGUUGUCACUGUCCUGCAGGGGGCAGCAGCCACCAGCAAACACCACUGCCUGCAGAAGCCUGGGCUGACUGGUUGGGACUCACCGAAGAUCCCUUCUUCCUGGGCGGUGGCCUGCAGGAACUGGAACAGCUGCUCUGUGUAGCCCAACUCUGCAGAAGAGAGAAGACCUAGACCUGGCACCCAGCACAGACACAGCCUGCCUCGAGGACUGCAAGGGAACAAGGGCCUCACCAGUAUCGGGCAGCUGGCCCUGGCGGAGGAAGGCGGCAGCCUGUGCAAAGGCCUUGAGCAGCGGGCUGAGCAGGCGGCAGAGGAAAAGAAAGAAAUCUGGGCAGUGUGACUGCUGGCUGAGCUGGAGGGGACAGGCCGGGGUGAGUGCAGCUCCCCACCGCCUCCCUACCACCUCCCUCCAGGGGCAGCUUUUUGAAACACACCCUGAAGUACCGGCCCUCAGCCUCUUCGAAGUCAUCACUGUCACUAUCAGUAAAGUCCCC